AUUGAACGCUGGCGGCAGGCCUAACACAUGCAAGUCGAACGAGUGGCGGACGGGUGAGUAAUGUCUGGGAAACUGCCUGAUGGAGGGGGAUAACUGCUGGAAACGGUAGAUAAUACCGCAUACCAUCGGAUGUGCCCAGAUUGGAUUAGCUAGUAGGUGGGGUAGAGGUUCACCUAGGCGACGAUCCCUAGCUGGUCUGAGAGGAUGACCAGCCCCACUGGAACUGAGACACGGCCCAGACUCCUACGGGAGGCAGCCGUGGGGAGUAGUGCACAAGUGGCGCAAGCCUGAUGCAGCCCUGCCGCGUGUAUGAAGAAGGCCUUCGGGUGUGAAAGUACUUUCAGCGGUGAGGCGUUACCCGCAGAAGAAGCACCGGCUAACUCCGUGCCAGCAGCCGCGGUAAUAC
rnacentral:rRNA from 1 species